UUGGAUGCACUGGCUGGUUUCAACUUCCUGUAGAGGACGCGCUCUGGCUUCAUCGCUGGACGCGGAGUCUACGUGGUUACUUUGAAAAAAUUAGAGUGUUCAAAGCGGGCUUACGCUUGAAUAUUUCAGCAUGGAAUAACACUAUAGGACUCCUGUCCUAUUUCGUUGGUCUCGGGACGGGAGUAAUGAUUAAGAGGAACAGUUGGGGGCAUUCGUAUUUCAUUGUCAGAGGUGAAAUUCUUGGAUUUAUGAAAGACGAACUUCUGCGAAAGCAUUUGCCAAGGAUGUUUUCAUUAAUCAAGAACGAAAGUUGGGGGCUCGAAGAUGAUUAGAUACCAUCCUAGUCUCAACCAUAAACGAUGCCGACUAGGGAUUGCAGGAUGUUAAUUGAUGACUCCUGCAGCACCUUAUGAGAAAUCAAAGUUUUUGGGUUCCGGGGGGAGUAUGGUCGCAAGGCUGAAACUUAAAGGAAUUGACGGAAGGGCACCACCAGGCGUGGAGCCUGCGGCUUAAUUUGACUCAGCACGGGAAAACUUACCAGGUCCAGACAUAGUAAGGAUUGACAGAUUGAUAGCUCUUUCUUGAUUCUAUGGGUGGUGGUGCAUGGCCGUUCUU
rnacentral:rRNA from 1 species